GUAAUGUAAUAAAAGUGGAACAUAAAUGGCUACAAAGAAAUCACAUUUAGUUUCUCUUAUUUUUUCUGUGCUUCUUCUGCUUUUAUGUAUCUCCUCUCAAGUUGGAUUUACAGAGGCCAGACGCUACCAACGUAUAAUAAAGUCACCACCUCCUCCUACCCCUCGUUUUUAUGUACCUCCUUCGAAAUCGCGCAGAGGACACGGCCCAUGAACAAAGUGCAUAGAUCAUAUAUAUGGUUUUAUACAUGUAUGUGAGCUUUGUGUUUUCAGAAAAAAAAAUAUCUAUGUAUUUGUGUUCCAGUUUGAUGAUCAUAAUUUUCAAUAAAUAAGUCGUUGGUGUUUUCAUUGUCUUAUAUGAAACAAAAUAAAAUGUGAAUGCGGUUUUCUCAUA